rnacentral:rRNA from 1 species
CGCAGCCGCGGUAAUUCCAGCUCCAAUAGCGUAUAUUAAAGUUGUUGCAGUUAAAAAGCUCGUAGUUGAAUUUCGGGAUCAAAUUGUCGGUCGUGCCUCGGUACGCACUGGUGUUAUUGGUUCCUCCCUUCUGAAGAACCGCGAUGUCAUUAAUUUGGUGUCGCGGGGAAUCAGGACUGUUAC